CCACAUACGACCAUAUCCAACUGAAAACUCGGGAUCCCGUCCACUCUCCCCUAGAUAAGCAGUUGAGUAUGAUUUUAUUCGUUCACCCGGCAGCAAGUAAAUAGAGGGGGGGCUGUUCUACUUAUU
rnacentral:rRNA from 1 species